UUAGAGUUUGAUCCUGGCUCAGGAUGAACGCUGGCGGCAUGCCUAAUACAUGCAAGUCGAACGAGAGGAAGGAAAGCUUGCUUUUCUGAAUCUAGUGGCGAACGGGUGAGUAACACGUAGGUAACCUGCCCAUGUGCCCGGGAUAACUUCUGGAAACGGAUGCUAAAACCGGAUAGGUAGCAGACAAGCAUUUGACUGCUAUUAAAGUGGCUAAGGCCAUGAACAUGGAUGGACUGCGGUGCAUUAGCUGGUUGGUGAGGUAACGGCCCACCAAGGCGACGAUGCAUAGCCGGCCUGAGAGGGCGGACGGCCACAUUGGGACUGAGACACGGCCCAACUCCUACGGGAGGCAGCAGUAGGGAAUUUUCGUCAAUGGGGGGAACCCUGAACGAGCAAUGCCGCGUGAGUGAAGAAGGUCUUCGGAUCGUAAAGCUCUGUUGUAAGAGAAAAACGACAUUCAUAGGGAAUGAUGAGUGAGUGAUGGUAUCUUACCAGAAAGUCACGGCUAACUACGUGCCAGCAGCCGCGGUAAUACGUAGGUGGCGAGCGUUAUCCGGAAUGAUUGGGCGUAAAGGGUGCGUAGGUGGCAGAACAAGUCUGGAGUAAAAGGUAUGGGCUCAACCCGUACUGGCUCUGGAAACUGUUCAGCUAGAGAACAGAAGAGGACGGCGGAACUCCAUGUGUAGCGGUAAAAUGCGUAGAUAUAUGGAAGAACACCGGUGGCGAAGGCGGCCGUCUGGUCUGUUGCUGACACUGAAGCACGAAAGCGUGGGGAGCAAAUAGGAUUAGAUACCCUAGUAGUCCACGCCGUAAACGAUGAGAACUAGGUGUUGGGGGAAUAACUCAGUGCCGCAGUU
rnacentral:rRNA from 1 species